rnacentral:lncRNA from 1 species
CCCAACACCCAGGGCCAGCACGUGGCACAGAGGGGCAGCGUCUUCCCCGAGGUCCUCACGCUCAGGCAUCGGCUCAGACCUCCGCCGACAUCAAGCCCUGUCCCCCCUGGACGCCGGCCCUCAGCUCAGCCAAGCGCCACUUCCCAGGGUGGCCGAUGGGGCAUCCUGGCCCGCUCACCUCCGGCCGGAACCCUGUCUCCCACUCACAGGAGCAGAAAUGAUAGCCCCACGUCGCCCUGGCAACUCCGUCUCCCCAGAUGGGGACUGAGGCUCCACUGUUGGAGGAAACCAACACCACAGGCGAGAUGAAGCAGGCCUGGCAGGGCAGCCCCGAGAUGUGGCCUCGCAGGGCCCAGGGUUCCCAGCAUCCUCGCCUGGCCUGGGCUUCGAAGCCCAUCAACCCCCGGCUGCCUGUUCCCCGCACAUCCCAGCUGACCAGUGCUCUCCCCACACAGGCUCCACGGGGUCCCCACCUUGCCGUUCACACGCCAGACUUCCCAGGACACAAAGACGGGAAAACAGAAGUGCGGAGGCCUGAGGCAUCUGCACCUGAACUUAGGGCUUCCCGCUCUGGUCCGGAGAACUUGGUCCUCCUUAACACCACGAACUCCUGGAAGGUGAGGAGGACUCCCUGCCUCCCCUGA